rnacentral:rRNA from 1 species
AGAACGAACGCUGGCGGCAUGCCUAACACAUGCAAGUCGAACGUGAUCCAGGCUUCGGCCUGGUGAAAGUGGCAGACGGGUGAGUAACGCGUGGGAACCUGCCCUGUGGUAGGGAAUAACCGUGGGAAACUGCGGCUAAUACCCUAUGAGUCCUUCGGGAGAAAGAUUUAUCGCCAUAGGAGGGGCCCGCGUCGGAUUAGGUAGUUGGUGGGGUAACGGCCUACCAAGCCUUCGAUCCGUAGCUGGUCUGAGAGGAUGAUCAGCCACACUGGGACUGAGAUACGGCCCAGACUCCUACGGGAGGCAGCAGUGGGAAUAUUGGACAAUGGGGGCAACCCUGAUCCAGCAAUGCCGCGUGGAUGAUGAAGGCCUUCGGGUUGUAAAGUCCGUUUCGGCGGGGAAGAUGAUGACGGUACCCGCAGAAGAAGCCCCGGCUAACUUCGCGCCAGCAGCCGC